UACGUAGGGUGCGAGCGUUGUCCGGAAUUAUUGGGCGUAAAGAGCUUGUAGGCGGUUUGUCGCGUCUGCUGUGAAAAUCCGGGGCUCAACCCCGGACUUGCAGUGGGUACGGGCAGGCUAGAGUGUGGUAGGGGAGACUGGGAUUCCUGGUGUAGCGGUGAAAUGCGCAGAUAUCAGGAGGAACACCGAUGGCGAAGGCAGGUCUCUGGGCCACUACUGACGCUGAGAAGCGAAAGCAUGGGGAGCGAACAGG
rnacentral:rRNA from 1 species